AUACGUGGCUUCCAUGCCUGAGCUUUAUCCCUAUAUGCUUUCAUGGAGAUCUCUAUGUCUCUACGAAUUUCCUUUUUUCAGUUCCUUUGCCAAAACAUUUCUCAUCUUCAACUUUCUCCGUGUUGUUGCAGCAUUAAGGUUUCCGUCUGUGUUAUUGUGACUAACUUCGUGGUUAAGAAGCUACCAAAGAUGAAGCAUCAUGGAGUGUCUCCAGAUGUCUAUACUCAAUUUCAAAGGUCUCAUUAAUUAGCAGAGAAUUUUCAUUGCUCCACAGUAGAGACAACAUGGGAAGAAGAGUAGUAGACUACCCAGAUGAUGCCCACCGCACUGGAUGAUGAGACUCUCACAUCUGUGUGAAGGUACUUUUGCUGGAAUUAACACCAUUUGACUUUUCAAGUCAAAAGUUGCUAAACUUCUAAGGGUAUCUCCAUACCUUCAAAAGUUCACAAUCAAGAUUAAUAGGUAUAUUACGAGGUUCUCUAAGCAUAAAGGGGGGGAAGUGUUAACCGGACAUAUGUGAAACGUCCCCAUGAACAUAUGAAAGGCGUUAAGAUGCCAAAUGUGUCAUUGUUGAAAAUAUUGAUUCAGGAAGACACUGAUCCCGUCGUAGUCAUAUACAACCUGUUGAUAAAUGGGUGGUGUUUGCAAGGAAGUAUGCAUGAAGCAAAAGAAAUGUUGUUUCCAUGUUCAAAGGAAGAAAGUAGCCUAUGUAGUUCUGAGUUGCACAAGUACUUUUCAAUGUAAGAUGAAGCUACUUCCUAGCUCAGUGCAGAUCAUGUAUGAGCUUGCUACAACAAGGAGCAAAGUAUAGAGAUGAAACAACUGUGGUUGUGAAUUUUUUGUUGGUGAGGCAUAGUCUGUAUUUUGCAGGUAUCUGGAAGAAAUAGCCAUAUAGUGCCCUUUUGUACGAAAAACACUUUCCCUUAUAAUUUAUUUAAUUCAA